UACGGGGGGGGCAAGCGUUGUUCGGAAUUACUGGGCGUAAAGGGCUCGUAGGCGGCCAACUAAGUCAGACGUGAAAUCCCUCGGCUUAACCGGGAAACUGCGUCUGAUACUGGAUGGCUUGAGAUUGGGAGAGGGAUGCGGAAUUCCAGGUGUAGCGGUGAAAUGCGUAGAUAUCUGGAGGAACACCGGUGGCGAAGGCGGCAUCCUGGACCAACACUGACGCUGAGGAGCGAAAGCCAGGGGAGCAAACGGG
rnacentral:rRNA from 1 species